AGCACGGGAGCAAUCCUGGUGGCGAGUGGCGAACGGGUGAGUAAUGUAUCGGAACGUACCUUUCAGUGGGGGAUAACGUAGCGAAAGUUACGCUAAUACCGCAUAUUCUGUGAGCAGGAAAGCAGGGGAUCGCAAGACCUUGCGCUGAUUGAGCGGCCGAUAUCAGAUUAGCUAGUUGGUGAGGUAAAGGCUCACCAAGGCGACGAUCUGUAGCGGGUCUGAGAGGGCGACCAGCCACACUGGGACUGAGACACGGCCCAGACUCCUACGGGAGGCAGCAGUGGGGAAUUUUGGACAAUGGGCGCAAGCCUGAUCCAGCCAUGCCGCGUGCAGGAUGAAGGCCUUCGGGUUGUAAACUGCUUUUGUACGGAACGAAAAGACUCUGGUUAAUACCUGGGGUCCAUGACGGUACCGUAAGAAUAAGCACCGGCUAACUACGUGCCAGCAGCCGCGGUAAUACGUAGGGUGCAAGCGUUAAUCGGAAUUACUGGGCGUAAAGCGUGCGCAGGCGGUUAUGUAAGACAGAUGUGAAAUCCCCGGGCUCAACCUGGGAACUGCAUUUGUGACUGCAUAGCUAGAGUACGGCAGAGGGGGAUGGAAUUCCGCGUGUAGCAGUGAAAUGCGUAGAUAUGCGGAGGAACACCGAUGGCGAAGGCAAUCCCCUGGGCCUGUACUGACGCUCAUGCACGAAAGCGUGGGGAGCAAAC
rnacentral:rRNA from 1 species